CCCUGCCCUUUGUACACACCGCCCGUCGCUACUAUCGAUUGAGCGGUUCAGUGAGGGCCUCGGAUUGGUCUCGGUCUGGCACGCAAGUGCCGGCACCGCUGGCCGAGAAGAAGCUCGAACUCGAUCGC
rnacentral:rRNA from 1 species